UACUUGAGAGACUGUACAAUGAUACAUAUAUAUAUUUAUGUUUCUUUCUUUCUUUCUUUCUCUGAGGAUGAACUUUGUUCUCCCAUGUGCUUGAUGUGCACAUCCUUUUAAAAGUUGGAGCAUAACACAUGGCUAAUGGCUGGCAAUUUUGAAAAAAAGUAGAAACCAUUGAAUAAGAUGAUCAAUUUCCAGCUUUUGCUGGAUGUUCAGUGGAAUCAAAGGCCCUUCUUGCACAUAAAGUAAUCUUAGCCCUUGGUGAAAAAAGUUGCAUCAACAUGUAUUUCGGAAUUUGUUUACCUUCCAGGAGUUUGUGGAGGUGGUGAUGAAGUUAGAAUCUGUCUAAAAGGAGUGAAAGGAAAUUGCAGAUGCUCAAUAUAUUACAUCUAAGGAAUUGAUAUCUUGGGGCCCAAGAAUAGUAUGAACACAGUAUUCUUUUUUUCUUGAGGUUUAUUGGAAAACAGUCGGAGCAACCAAAGCGCAUCCAGCUUUAAAUCUUCAAUAGCCUCCAUAUGUUCAUUCCACUUUCAGCAGCUGAACUUUGGUUUCACAUAUACUUGCGCAUAUAAAGUGUUCCAAUAUUAAUGGAAAAUCCUUCCAUCGAAAACCAAAUGUUCAUAAGUGUAGAAAAUUUAUAAUUUUGAGACUACUGAGGUAGGUUGAUGGAAACAAAGUCUUGUCCAUAUUGAUGAGGAGCAGCACUUACUGAUGAAAUAUGAGCUUUGCUUUCUCAGACAAAGUAAGCAUUUUAACUUGUAGAUGGCACAGUUACUAUUCCACUAGCAAAGAAAGCAGACUGGAUCUCCAUCAUAUUCCCAAUAAGGAACAUACCUGGAUUAUGCUAGCGAUGGAAUAACAACUUAAUUCGUAAAAAUGGCUAGUUCAUUCUGCCACUAGAAUGUCCUAUGUUUUUGCAGAGGAAUGUCAUUUUGUGGAUUUUAAAAUGGAAUUCACUCCCUCUAUCUGUACCUCAUUUAUAUCUGCUUCCGAAUUUCGUAUGGAUGGAAAAUAUAUGUGCUUCUUGGAUACCA